GUACUUACCUGGCAGGGGAGACACCAUGAUCAGGCAGGUGGUUUUCCCAGGGCGAGGCUCAUCCCUUGCACUCCGGGUGUGCUGACCCCUGCGAUUUCCCCAAAUGCGGGAAACUCGACUGCAUAAUUUGUGGUUGUGGGGGACUGCAUUCGCGCUCUCCCCUG
rnacentral:snRNA from 1 species